rnacentral:rRNA from 1 species
UCGAACGGCAGCACAGAAGAGCUUGCUCUUUGGGUGGCGAGUGGCGGACGGGUGAGUAAUGUCUGGGAAACUGCCCGAUGGAGGGGGAUAACUACUGGAAACGGUAGCUAAUACCGCAUAACGUCGCAAGACCAAAGUGGGGGACCUUCGGGCCUCACACCAUCGGAUGUGCCCAGAUGGGAUUAGCUAGUAGGUGGGGUAAUGGCUCACCUAGGCGACGAUCCCUAGCUGGUCUGAGAGGAUGACCAGCCACACUGGAACUGAGACACGGUCCAGACUCCUACGGGAGGCAGCAGUGGGGAAUAUUGCACAAUGGGCGCAAGCCUGAUGCAGCCAUGCCGCGUGUAUGAAGAAGGCCUUCGGGUUGUAAAGUACUUUCAGCGGGGAGGAAGGCGGUGAGGUUAAUAACCUCGCCGAUUGACGUUACCCGCAGAAGAAGCACCGGCUAACUCCGUGCCAGCAGCCGCGGUAAUACGGAGGGUGCAAGCGUUAAUCGGAAUUACUGGGCGUAAAGCGCACGCAGGCGGUCUGUUAAGUCAGAUGUGAAAUCCCCGGGCUUAACCUGGGAACUGCAUUUGAAACUGGCAGGCUUGAGUCUCGUAGAGGGGGGUAGAAUUCCGGGUGUAGCGGUGAAAUGCGUAGAGAUCUGGAGGAGUACCAGUGGGGAAGGCGGCCCCGUGGACGAACACGGACGCUCAGGUGAGAAAGCGG